rnacentral:tRNA from 1 species
GGGUUCAUGGCCUAAUGGUAAGGCGUCAGAUUUCGGUUCCGUCAAUAGUCUUUCCACUCUCUGAAGAUUGCAGGUUCGAUCCCUGCUGAGCUCG